AGUGAACGCUGGCGGUAGGCCUAACACAUGCAAGUCGAACGGCAGCACAGUAAGAGCUUGCUCUUACGGGUGGCGAGUGGCGGACGGGUGAGGAAUACAUCGGAAUCUACUUUUUCGUGGGGGAUAACGUAGGGAAACUUACGCUAAUACCGCAUACGACCUACGGGUGAAAGCAGGGGAUCUUCGGACCUUGCGCGAUUGAAUGAGCCGAUGUCGGAUUAGCUAGUUGGGGGGGUAAAGGCCCACCAAGGCGACGAUCCGUAGCUGGUCUGAGAGGAUGAUCGGCCACAUUGGAACUGGGACACGGUCAAGACUCCUACGGGAGGCAGCAGUGGGGAAUAUUGGACAAAGGGCGCAAGCCUGAUCCAGCCAUACCGCGUGGGUGAAGAAGGCCUUCGGGUUGUAAAGCCCUUUUGUUGGGAAAGAAAAGCAGCAGGUUAAUACCCCGCUGUUCUGACGGUACCCAAAGAAUAAGCACCGGCUAACUUCGUG
rnacentral:rRNA from 1 species